GUUUUUCCUGUGCCCUCGUCGUUCCGUUUCUCCACUGUUCCUUUCCGGACUUGAGCCGGCCUUGUUUGAACGCCCUCAGCUCCAUUUCAUAGCCACCGGCUGGCGUCCGCUCCCGCAACAGCCGUCACGCACUUCAAUCCAGCAGCCUCUGCUCUGCCUGCGUCGCAGCCAGUGGCUCAGCGGCUGCGCCCGUGCCUGUCACGUCUUGUCCUCAAUCUCUCUCUCUCUCAAUCCUCACCUCUCCGGCUCUCUUUCUCCUCCCCAGUCCCCAACGGUGAGGCCCCCGCCGUGCAGCCCAUCGACGCAUUGCCGCUGCAAGCGCGGACACCGAGGGCUAGAAGCGGCGGCGGUGCCAGGGCUCGGCGCUCGGUUGGCAAUGGCGAGGCGGCUUAUGCUGGCGCUCCCUGUGCUCCUCUUCUUAUUGCUCGUCGGGCGCCCGGGAUUCUUCCGUGCUAAUGGGGAAUGGGUCACAUGCUUCUGUUCAUGGCACUGGCACGGUGGAUCUGAAGUUUACUUCGGGAAAGAUCGUGCAGCUGAAGAACGUGCAUCAUGUCCCUUCUAUACACAAGAAUCUCGUUAGCGGAACCCUUCUAUGUAGAGAUGGGUUCAAGGUAGUUUUAGAGUCCAAUAAAUUAGUUGUGUCCAAGUCUGGACAAUUUAUUGGUAAAGGCUAUGAUUGCGGAGGCUUGUUCCGCUUUUCUUUGUUAGAUUUCAAUAAUAAGUCUGUGAACCAUAUUUGUGCUAAUGUUGAUGAUCUUGCGAGUAUUUGGCAUUCUCGUUUGUGUCAUAUUAA